rnacentral:misc_RNA from 1 species
CAGAGUUAUAAAACUCCCAAACCCACUGUUUACCUACCUGAAAAGUUGCUUCGGCAGGCGGCCCCAGGGCGGGGCCACAGCCGCAAGGCGCCUGCCGAGGAAUUUUAAACUCCUGUUUUAAUGUCUAUCUGAGUCUAUAAAACAAAUUAUUA